rnacentral:rRNA from 1 species
GACGUAGGGCGCGAGCGUUGUCCGGAUUUAUUGGGCGUAAAGAGCUCGUAGGCGGCUGGUCACGUCGACUGUGAAACCCGACGGCUCAACCGUGUGGUCUGCAGUCGAUACGGGCUGGCUGGAGUUCGGUAGGGGAGACUGGAAUUCCUGGUGUAGCGGUGAAAUGCGCAGAUAUCAGGAGGAACACCGGUGGCGAAGGCGGGUCUCUGAGCCGAAACUGACGCUGAGGAGCGAAAGCGUGGGGAGCGAACAGG